rnacentral:lncRNA from 1 species
UGCUCUAGGCUUGUUCAAACUGCAAAUUAUAUGUCUCAUCAUAUCUCACUUUAAGGUAGCCUACUUAAAGCUACCCAGUUUGUGUGUAGCUCUCAUGUUGUCAAUACAUUGACAGUAAAAUAAAUUAAACUUAUUAUAUGGAUGUUGUUUUAAUAGUCUGUUUUAUUCAAACAUUUAGCUAUGACCACAGUGGCCCCAAAUGCACAAAUAACUGCAAAAAGACUACGCCAUGAGCUGGAGAUGGCCAAACAAAAAGUGGCAGCAGGAGAUGCUCAAGGAAGUGACCAAGGAGAGAGACUUUCUAAGGGAACAACUGGCUAUGACAAUAAAAUAGGACAAGGGCGUUCCAUCAGAGGACAGCACAAGUCCCUUACAGCAAACCACUUCCGCCGCUUCAGCUACUUUCUCUUCUGAUUCCUCCCACUCGUCACCCAACUCUUCAUAUGACUCUUCCUCCACGGAUGAGGGAUGGAAGAAGAAAAAGAAGAACAGUAAAACAGUAAAGAGACGUAAGCAGGGGAAACGGGGAAAGGAGCAAAGUGUUCACCAGAGAGCUCGAGAUCCUGAAGUGGUGGCCCGAUACCGAAAGGUGUUGAAAAUCUGCCAGGAGGGAAGGACCAUGGGGGCUGCUUUCAGAGCUGUGGGUGUUGACCGCAACACUAUUGUCGUGAAUGCCCCAAUGGCAGAACUUUGCAUUGCUGCCCCAGAAACAUUUGCAGAGCUCAGAGAGAGGUGCUCCAAGAAGGAGAAGCUCAGUUGUUUUACACAAAGGUGUAAAGAUGCCAUUGAGGGUGAUGAC